AAGACGUCGCAUCAAACACGACCGGGCAGCUGGUAACUAAACCCGAUCUUCUUCUGGGAUCAAAAGUAUACUUUUUCCCGCCAGCAUGUUUGUGCAUGCUGACAAUGAACGGCUCUUGAGUGUUCACC
rnacentral:rRNA from 1 species